rnacentral:rRNA from 1 species
UCAGGCCUAACACAUGCAAGUCGUACGAAAGUUUUUAACUUUAGUGGCGGACGGGUGAGUAACACGUGAGAAUUUGCCUUUAGGAGGGGGAUAACAAUCGGAAACGAAUGCUAAUACCCCAUAUGCUUUCGAGUGAAAUGGAUUUAUAUUUAUCCGCCUAGAGAGAAGCUCGCGCCUGAUUAGCUUGUUGGUAAGGUAAGAGCUUACCAAGGCGACGAUCAGUAUCUGGUUUGAGAGGACGAUCAGACACACUGGAACUGAGACACGGUCCAGACUCCUACGGGAGGCAGCAGUGGGGAAUUUUCCGCAAUGGGCGAAAGCCUGACGGAGCAAUACCGCGUGAGGGAAGACUGCCUAUGGGUUGUAAACCUCUUUUUUCAGGGAGGAAUCAAAUGACGUGUACCUGAAGAAUAAGCAUCGGCUAACUCCGUGCCAGCAGCCGCGGUAAGACGGAGGAUGCAAGUGUUAUCCGGAAUCACUGGGCGUUAAGCGUCUGUAGGUGGUUUAAUAAGUCAACUGUUAAAUCUUGAGGCUCAACUUCAAAAUCGCAGUCGAAACUAUUAGACUAGAGUAUAGUAGAGGUAAAGGGAAUUUCCAGUGGAGCGGUGAAAUGCGUAGAUAUUGGAAAGAACACCGAUGGCGAAAGCACUUUACUGGGCUAUUACUAACACUCAGAGACGAAAGCUAGGGUAGCAAAUGG